rnacentral:rRNA from 1 species
GGCGGCAGGCUUAACACAUGCAAGUCGAGCGGUAGCAGAUCUAGCUUGCUAGAUGCAGACGAGCGGCGGACGGGUGAGUAACGCGUAGGAACCUGCCCAGUAGUGGGGGAUAGCCCGGGGAAACUCGGAUUAAUACCGCAUACGCUCUACGGAGGAAAAGAGGGGCCUCGGGCUCUCGCUAUUGGAUGGGCCUGCGUGAGAUUAGCUAGUUGAUGAGGUAAUGGCUCACCAAGGCGACGAUCUCUAGCUGGUCUGAGAGGAUGAUCAGCCACACUGGGACUGAGACACGGCCCAGACUCCUACGGGAGGCAGCAGUGGGGAAUAUUGCACAAUGGGCGCAAGCCUGAUGCAGCCAUGCCGCGUGUGUGAAGAAGGCUUUCGGGUUGUAAAGCACUUUCAGUGGGGAGGAAGGCCUCGUAGUUAAUAGCUGCGAGGAUUGACGUUACCCACAGAAGAAGCACCGGCUAACUCCGUG